AGCGCUCACCUGGUGGCCAUAUUGCGCAGUAAGCAGCACUGAGGAGAGUUCUCAGAUGACAAAUGAAAGAGGCUUGUGACAUGGCGGGGCGAGGGCCCGUGUCACGCUCUGCUUGUAAAGGCCCUUUCUGAAGUGCUUGCCUUGGCCUACCCCAUCACUGGAGCUAAAAAGCCUGGCCCGGGCUUAAUGAGUGCUGCUGAAGCAUUGCUAUGGAGACUGCAGAGAGCCUUUCAUCACCAUGGAGACUAUGGAGGAUUGUCUGAACACCGGGAUCUUCUUUUUCUGAAAUGAAAGGGGAAAGCUAAACUUAUCCGAGGGCCGUUUUCCUAUUCUAGACAGACUCACGAGUCCACCGCUAUGUCACAGUCAACUCUGGUUAAAAAAGCUUACAGGAUGUUUGAGCUUUCAGUUAAACAAAGAAACUGUGUUCAGCAGCUCUCUUAUACUGCGUCCCAGGUGCUUAUUAACAAUAUAUAUGGGAUGUAUUUGGAGUGUAUUUGUAACACACAGUGUUUUGCUCUACUGCAUUGAUCCUUACAUACAUGUUAAUGUAUUAAAGGCAUUUUUUGGUUAAAAAUGUGUACUGUUAAACCAUGACAACUCAAAGAGCUCAAGACCAGGUUUUGCAAGAGGCUGGGUUUGGAUAGUGGUUGAAAUGCUUGGUCACCCAAUCAAACCAUAUACAACCCCUGGCAAAAAGUAUGGAAUCACCAGUCUUGGAUGAGCACUCCUUCAGACAU